AGUGAACGCUGGCGGUAGGCCUAACACAUGCAAGUCGAACGGCAGCACAGUAAGAGCUUGCUCUUACGGGUGGCGAGUGGCGGACGGGUGAGGAAUACAUCGGAAUCUACUUUUUCGUGGGGGAUAACGUAGGGAAACUUACGCUAAUACCGCAUACGACCUACUGGUGAAGGCAGGGGAUCUUCGGACCUUGCGCGGUUGAAUGAGCCGAUGUCGGAUUAGCUAGUUGGGGGGGUAAAGGCCCACCAAGGCGACGAUCCGUAGCUGGUCUGAGAGGAUGAUCAGCCACAUUGGAACUGAGACACGGUCCAGACUCCUACGGGAGGCAGCAGUGGGGAAUAUUGGACAAUGGGCGCAAGCCUGAUCCAGCCAUACCGCGUGGGUGAAGAAGGCCUUCGGGUUGUAAAGCCCUUUUGUUGGGAAAGAAAAGCAGCAGGUUAAUACCCCGCUGUUCUGACGGUACCCAAAGAAUAAGCACCGGCUAACUUCGUG
rnacentral:rRNA from 1 species